CAAAGUGUAGCUUAACCAAAGCACCUGGCUUACACCCAGAGGAUUUCAUCGACAUGGCCCUUGACUAAAGCUAGG
rnacentral:tRNA from 1 species